UCCAGGAAAGCUUCUCCCCUCCCAAAAGGGCACAACCUGCUGCCGCCCAGGAUGUGUUGUUCCUUUCUCCACUCCAUCAGAAAGUUGAAGCUCCUCUUAACACAGUUCAUGUCACUGGAGUUUUUCCAGGACAUUACAAGUCCUAGAUACCUGAUAUGAAUUCAGAUAUGUGGCCAGGUUUCAGAAGGCCUCCACUAGGAAUGGAGGAGUCAGAAGUAGGAAUAUGCAAGCGACAACUGAUGCCGUGGCAACAGGUACCGUGGAAUUAUGUGCCCACCACGGAGUGCCCAGGAAACCAAGGAAAGCAAAGCAUGGAAGAGAUGGAUGCAGCCACAGAUAUUUUCCUUGAGGAAAAGGAAAAAGGCUUGUGGCAACCCUGCAUCAGUGAAUCCACCAGCACCAUUACCUCCUGAAGAGCAUUUGCUUACUCCACGUCUCAUUUUGGCCAUAUUUCUUCCUACUACCCCUGGACACCUCUGGUCCUUCCUGUCCUCAGGACAGAUGGCAUUAAAAAAAAAAAAAAAAAGUAUGGAGUCACUCUAGCUGGGAACCAAACUGACAAAGUAAGGUAGGGACACAGGAACAGUCACUGGAUGAGGGGCUUGUUCAUGGAUGGAAAAACAUCAGGUGGUCAUGCUUGAGGUCUUUACCCCUUGAUUACUGAGCUGCUAUGGAGUUGGAGAUGCUUUGCAAUAUUCCAAGACAGGACCAUGCAUCUGUUAGAUUAACAAAAAGUCAAGGUGAGGAGACCAUGCUCACUAUUGCAAAGAGCUUCCUGCAUGAACAGAAAACGCAUAUCUAUUUAGGAAGUUAAGGCAAAUCCAGGGGGACAUAGGGUCUCAGGAAGUCACAAUGGUCACUAACUGGAAUUGUGAGCAUUAAGAGUCCUUUGGUCCAAAUAAAUUCAUCUCCAUUGUUAUCAGAUCCUGUCUAGACUUAAGAAUUGCCUGAGUGAAAGCCUUGGUCCUUCUCUGGUCCUUCUGUGGCUCAGCCUCAUUGCUGUGUGAGAAAAGCUGAGGCUGAGCUACUGUCCGUGAUCCAUUCCCCCUAUGGUUUAGAUAGGUCCUACACUCACCUUGUCAGAACCAUGAAAAGUGGCAUGUCUAGUGUAUUAGUUCUCAUGGACAAAACCCGACAUGAUCAGGAUGGGGGCAGGGGGUGGGGGAGAGAACAAAGUGGGAUCGUCCUGAUUAGGAGAACAGGCUAUAUCAGAACUCUGAAAAAUUCAGCUCCGAGCUAGUGAUGGGGCUAAAGGCCUCUACUACUCUGGCUCUGUGGCUCCCAGACUUAAGCACAUCCACCCUCAGCAAAGAACCUUUGAGCACACACUUCCAGUAGAUCUACAGUUGUAAGGGGUCUGGUGGGUCAUGAAGCAUUAACACCACAAGAUUUAUAGGGGAUAGGAGUCCAUGCGUUCUUCCACAAACCCUCAGGUCUGCACCCUCCAGCAGAGAGGCAGAUGGACUUAACAGCACCCCAGUUGUUCGAGGGGUCUGGGCUCCCUCCCUUGCUAUUCCAGGUUAGAUCUGUGAACACACAGCAAGCAGGCAGGGGAACUAGGGGCCUUUUAGGUCUUAAUGGAGGCAUCGAAUGAAGACAGAACACGCUGCAUUUGGAAAGUGAACCAGCACCAUCCUUAGCUCCAGCUGAGGGCCUCUGACUACUCAAGCCCAGGGACGGCUGUUGCCUGCUCUUCCUUUAGUUUUAUCUCCUCCGUCAAGAUACCUGUGCCUGCAGAGACAGCGAGAGGGUCUUCAGGACCAGAAUCUGAACAUCACUUUCUUCACCCUGACACCUGGUCUCAACUUGCUGGCCUGUCAUGCUGGGAGGUCAGAUUCAGGUUCUACAAACUUAAGGGACACUUUAUACUGACCCAGGUCAGCUCCAGAAGGCACCAUGGUUCCUGCAGUUCAGAGUCAGUCUAGAGAGGAGGUAUAUUCCACCCCAUUCUCAAGUCCUCAAGUUGUUGCCCGAGGACAGCAUCGGGUCAACCCUAGAGCAGUUCAGUCUCCUGCCAUCCUAGCCUGCAUGCUCCUGUUCUCAAACCUUCCCUCUGCUCAGCAGUCUGGUUUCAGACUGCCGCCCCCUCCCAUUAAGGGGAAGUGACAGGCCUGGGAGGAGCAGAAACACCCUGCACAUCAGAGAGGCUGCAGUCCUCAGCCAAGAUGGGGGUACCCAGAUGUAGCUCAUCCCUACAGCCUUACAGGGCUAACGAGUGUUGCUGAGAUCACAGGAGGAAGGGCUGACCAGAUCCAAGAUUGAAGCAGAAUUAGGCAAUGGGGCUGCCGCACUUUGGAUCCCAGGCCCAAGGUAGCAGAAUGCAACUACCAGUCUAUUUAAGGAUUGGUAGAGGAUCUUAGUUGUGCAAGUUUGAGAGAAUAACAGUCUACUAGCGGCUGCCCAUGUGCCACAUGUAUCUUGUUCUACUUCGGUCCAGGUUCCUUUGUUUGUAAGGAGCUACUUAACCAGUCGAAUUAAAAACCCAAGUUCUCAAGCUUAUCACUGCCACUUUAGAGGCCACAUAGCUCCCACAGCUGAUCAGCCACCACUGAUGGCUGAAGCUGAACUUCUGGACCUUAUUAAGGCUUCAUAAAGGUUAAAGAAGAUUGCAGUGGCAGCCAUUUAAUCCUCGACUACAACAGGGAUCACUUAGAGACUUAGAAAAUAGCACCUGGGAUUUAUUAGGCACUGAAGGGACAGCUACCACCCACCAUGCAGAAGAGGAGAGAGCAGGAAGUGUAGCCCAGUCUUCCCAUUAACAGGUAAGAUGCUGUUUUCCUCUUAAUUCUAUAGUCUGUAGAGAGCCCAGCCAUGUUUGCUUCCUCACUGGAGACCGAGGAGAACCCCCCCUCCACCCCCCAGCUAAGGCUUCCCUGCACGGAACUCCCACCACACCCGGUUUCCCAGGCUCCAUGGCAGCCUUGUGUCCCCACCCCAUGCCUUGGCUUCCACGGCAAAUCCCCCAGACUCAAGUCUGCUAUGUUCUUGAGCAUUAGGAGAUUAGGUCCUUUCUGCCUCCUUUCCAGGAAGGGAAACUUGGAGAUCACCUGGGCUUACAGAGCUAAAGGCAUGUCAUUCUCAGGGUCCCUUUGCUGAAGAUAAAGUAGGGGCUUCAGGAGAAAGGAGACUUCCUCUGGGGAGAGGUCAGCAGCAGACCUUAGAGAGCCACAGGCCCUCAGAGAAAGAGCCAGGAGGACUCUGUGUCUUCCCCUGCAUUGGUUAGAGGGAGAUAGAAAAGAGAAACCUCUAGUUAGAGCAGGCUCAGGGAGGAGUCAGCCAGAGAAAGAACAUAAAGAAAAAGCAAGAACUUUGCCCUGUUGAAAAACCAUACAGGCCCUCUCCAAGCCAACCCAGUACCCGCAGCAGGGCCAAGCACCCCGCAGCACCCAUUCUUGCUGAACAGAGCUACUGAGGCAAAUGGCCUUACAGCCCCCACCCACCAAGAUGAGGAAGGGCUCAGUCUUCUCCUUAUGUACCCCUGGCUCCUCCCCCAUGACUAAAACCAACAGUGCCCACCUGAUCCCGGGGCACUUUCCCUGACCUCCCUUUGAUAGGGCUUACCUGGGGCCUUUCAGAUGCUCAGAGGCAUGCUGCUGCAAGCACCUGGGUUCAUGUGGAGAGGAGGUCAAGAAACAGGUCUUAAUAAUUGAGCAUCUUAUUAUCUAUUUGGGAAAUCUGUGUCUCUUUCUUAGGGCCCAUCAAGAGUGUUGAUAGGGGUUAAAAAGUCAAAGAGUAUCACCCAAGUUCCAAGGGAAAAAACUUAAUUUGUGAAGUUGUAUAUGAACUUGGCCUCAUGAAGUUAUCAACAUUUGACAGUGAAAUGGUCACAAUCUACAUUAAAUUCUCAUGAAGUUUCCUAAAAUGCCUAUUAUCGUUAGAGAAUUACCUUUAAAAUAUGCUAUAGGGGGACGCCUGUGUGGCUCAGUGGUUGAGCGCCUGCCUUUGGCCCAGGGCGUGAUCCUGGAGUCCCGGGAUUGAGUCCCAUGUCCGGCUCCCUGCAGGGAGCCUGCUUCUAUCUCUGCCUGUGUC